GGUCUGUGGACAAAGUUGUAGAGGACUUCAAUAUCUUUCUUUGGACGCCAAGAACUCUGUCAUAGCAGUUAUAAUUUGUGAGAUAUCGAGUUUUCAAUCUGACUGGUUUCCAGUGACGAAAAUCUGGACAGUUUUGGAUCUAAGCAGUUUUUGACCCUGUUAAUGAAAUAAUUAGGUCCUUGAUUAUUAACAAAGGUUUUAGGAUUUUUGUUAAGCUUUCUAGAUUGGUAAAGUUUGUAACUUUUGAAUAAGUAUAUCUCUUGUUAUGAAUUUUUGAAGUUUGAUGUUCUGUUUUGAAUGUCAGAAAUAUUCAGUUGUGUUCUAUGGUUAAUUAUACCAUCUUGCAUAUCUCUGAUGCAAAACCUUACAAUACAAAAGUUGUAUAUAACAGAGUUUUACAUGAUCUGAUAAAUUAUGGUAAUUUUUGGAUGAGUAUUCUGAAGUAUAUGAAAAAGAGAAGAGUCGGUGCUGCUGUCUUGAUCGGUAGCGCAAACGGUAGAGGCUUGAAUGUCGGGUUUGGGGCGCUUUAGUGCGUAUUUGUUCUUACUCUUGCUUGUAUGUUGGUGUAUGUACUGAGUAGUAUUUGUGAUCAGGUGGUAGCACUUCGGAACAUCACUAGUGCUUUUGUUCUCCUUCGGUAAAGAGGCAAGUGAAUGUAGCGGUGGUUUGCUACCGUUUUGGCUUGUUAUUUUUAUCACCUACAGUUUAUUGUCUAUAAGAAUGUCACCUCUCUCAUAUCUAAAAUUUAUGAUUUGGGUAUAUUUAGUCUUAGUUAAAUUAUGGUCUUAUUUAAGUACUUAUGGUGAUGGUAUUAUGUUAUAUUGUUAUUUGUGGCUAGCCCGCAAACCUGAAUUUGAAGUUGGAGUAUCAUUGGUGAUUUAUUAAUUUUAUUGCAACAUGCCAAGUGCAUUGCAUCAUUCAUUGACAUUGGAAGUUAUGUCUUGACCUAUGGUCAUGACUGUACUGGUACGCAUCAUGGGAUGCAGCUCCACACCUUGUUGGGUGUGCAGGCAGGAGACAUAUGCAUUGCAUUCAUAUGCAUUCAUGAGAAGUAUGUUAUUGAAGGGAUUUUAUCCACGUUAUUAUGAAGCUCUGUAUUAUUGGCUAUGUUCCAAAUUGGAAGACUGUUACUUUAGUAUGAUAUUAUGUCAAUUGGGAACAUCAUAUUAAAUUGAUGUUAAUUCAAAUUAUGGUUUAAAUAGCUUGUCAAAACAAGUUCGCUUGCUGAGAUGUUUCAUCUCACCCUUGCUUUACUCAAUCUAGGUACUUGAUGCAUACUUGGAAGGGAAGGGAAUUAGCUGCACGUCACACACUUAUUCAUUUAGAGACCUUGUGUUUUAAUAAAUAAUAAUUUGGUUUGCUUAUUGGUUUUGAAGGCGUUUGUUAAAGUGUGGGUGUUAAACUUAAUUCUUAUUGAAGUAACUUAUUUGCGUUAGGAUGUUCAUUAAUCCUAGUUUGGUAUUUCAGUAUUUUUUAUAUUUUAUUCUUUCGCUUGCUAUAAAUACAAAGAAGAUGCUGCCAAAUUGUUUAUUGGUUGUGUGCAGCUGUUGUUUGUGUAGUCUAGUAGCAUCC
rnacentral:lncRNA from 1 species